AUUGAACGCUGGCGGCAGGCCUAACACAUGCAAGUCGAGCGGAUGAAGGGAGCUUGCUCCUGGAUUCAGCGGCGGACGGGUGAGUAAUGCCUAGGAAUCUGCCUGGUAGUGGGGGAUAACGUCCGGAAACGGGCGCUAAUACCGCAUACGUCCUGAGGGAGAAAGUGGGGGAUCUUCGGACCUCACGCUAUCAGAUGAGCCUAGGUCGGAUUAGCUAGUUGGUGGGGUAAAGGCCUACCAAGGCGACGAUCCGUAACUGGUCUGAGAGGAUGAUCAGUCACACUGGAACUGAGACACGGUCCAGACUCCUAAGGGAGGCAGCAGUGGGGAAUAUUGGACAAAGGGCGAAAGCCUGAUCCAGCCAUGCCGCGUGUGUGAAGGAGGUCUUCGGAUUGUAAAGCACUUUAAGUUGGGAGGAAGGGCAGUAAGUUAAUACCUAGCUGUUUUGACGUUACCAACAGAAUAAGCACCGGCUAACUUCGUG
rnacentral:rRNA from 1 species